ACCAGACUCCUACGGGAGGCAGCAGUGAGGAAUAUUGGUCAAUGGGCGCGAGCCUGAACCAGCCAAGUCGCGUGAGGGAAGACGGUCCUAUGGAUUGUAAACCUCUUUUGUCGGGGAGCAAAAGACGCCACGCGUGGCGUUCCGAGAGUACCCGAAGAAAAAGCAUCGGCUAACUCCGUGCCAGCAGCCGCGGUAAUACGGAGGAUGCGAGCGUUAUCCGGAUUUAUUGGGUUUAAAGGGCGCGCAGGCGGAUUUUUAAGUCAGCGGUCAAAUCGUGGGGCUCAACCCCAUCCAGCCGUUGAAACUGGGGAUCUAGAGUGUGCGAGAGGUAUGCGGAAUGCGUGGUGUAGCGGUGAAAUGCUUAGAUAUCGCGCAGAACCCCGAUUGCGAAGGCAGCGUACCGGCUCCACACUGACGCUGAGGCACGAAAGCGUGGGUAUCGAACAGGAUUAGAUACCCCUGUA
rnacentral:rRNA from 1 species